UACAGAGGUGGCAAGCGUUGUUCGGAAUCACUGGGCUUAAAGGGCGCGUAGGCGGGCCAUAAAGUCAAGGGUGAAAUCCUCCAGCUUAACUGGAGAACUGCCUUUGAUACUGAUGGUCUCGAGUAAGGUAGGGGCAUGCGGAACUGAUGGUGGAGCGGUGAAAUGUGUUGAUAUCAUCAGGAACUCCGGUGGCGAAGGCGGCAUGCUGGACCUUCACUGACGCUGAGGCGCGAAAGCUAGGGGAGCGAACGGG
rnacentral:rRNA from 1 species